GCCUCUCCUCACUCUUGCCAUCUCGUCCCUCCUCCUCCUCGCUCCCUCCGCAUCUUCCAUCUUCAAGUUGCUUCGUCUUCCAUCGUUUCGUCCUUACGACAUCAUCCGCUUUGAGAAAUUCGUCGCUUUCUUCAUCGGCUCCGCUUCUUCCUCGAGUUGUCAAAUUAGAAAAAGGUUCGCUUUCCUUUUUCCCCAAGUUGUGUGCUUGCGGCGGAUCUGCCUUCUUCCGCUUCGGCUGUCUCCCCAAUUUCCCAUCUUAUUAUUCCCUUGGCACCCCCACGGCCCCACAUUCCCUUUGGGCAGCACACCAGCUCCACACAUCUGACCUGUUGGGUUUGUGUUCUAUUCGGUGUUUGCCAAGUCCCAUUACCCAUUUUCACUUAUCCCAAAUCGGCCAGAGGAUAGGUUCUGUGCUUUCCUUUUAUUUUCCCCAAUUUCUCCAUUCCCCCCCUUCUAUAGUCUCCUUAGAUCAGGUUCUGCAGAUAAAAGCACCAGAAAAUGAACAUCCAAGCAACUCAUUGACAAACGAAACUGAACUUUCUUCGUUUUUAACCAUGUUGAGAAGUACCCUUGCUCCUUAAGGACUACACCAGCGAGGUCCCUCAUCCACUUGAAGGACGUCGUCAUUGGUUCACUAAUGAAAACAUUGUGUAUGCCUAAAACCUCAAGAUAUGUUGGCAACCAUCGGAGUACAGGUUUCAAGAAAAUGUGAAUUCCAUGAAAAUACAGACACCGGGCCCAUAUUACACAAUGACAUGGUUUAAGCUGACAAAGAGGGCAAAGACUUUUUUACCAUCCAAUACUCCUGAAAGUUCCGCCAACACAUUAGAAAGCCCUGCAAAAAAGGUUGCUAAAUCUAUUGCAUUUUUAGAUGAUGUCAAUACCAUGAACAAUUUAAUUGAUGCCCGCACUUGGAUAUGACAUGUGAUGAUUUUAUUGACUGUACGUCAAACUGAAAUUGCGA
rnacentral:misc_RNA from 1 species